rnacentral:tRNA from 1 species
GCCUUAGCUCAGUUGGUAGAGCAACGGACUGAAAAUCCGUGUGUCCCUGGUUCAAAUCCUGGAGGC